UUGUUAAUUUAUUUUAUUUUGUCAUGCUGGCAACAAUGUGCACAAAGCACACCUGUGCUAUUCCUAAACUAAUUUGGAAUGGAUAGCAUUCAUCAUUAAUGGCUAGGUCAUUUUUUCUUCUCCAUGACAACAUUGAUUGCUUGGCUUUACUACAAGGAAAGAGAUGCAAUCUUUUCUCAUGGGGAGUGUGGUUCCUCUUGUUCUUCAUGAUGCCCCGUGUGGCCAUGUCAGUCUGAUUGGUUACCACAGAGUUAUAUCUUUGCGAUACAAUUUGUAUCUUAGGGUUGCAUUUGUUAACCGGUUCUUUUGCGGAUUAUCAAGGAAAACAAUGAAAGUGUAUCAAAGAAAACAAUGAAGUGUAUGAAGACUGCCUAAGGCGUUUGGUAUUGUACAGACGUAUAGUAUAGUUGACGAAAGCCAUGGAUCGGAUUCCACUCAGCCUUUUGUAUUGAGGUUUUUUAAUGGAAGAUUACUGUGCCUGUAUUUUAAAUCUGCUCGUGUGAAUUUGAAACUAUGUUGAUUCUCACUGAUACAAAUUUGGAAGAUGGUCCUUUAAAUGGAUGUUUCCAUGAGUAUUACGAUUCCAACUAUCGAGUCCUUCCCAUUUUAAAGCACUUAAGAACUAUUACUUUCAAAAAGCUGCAAAACAUGACAUUCUGUGAUCAUUAUUUUCAAUUCCCUUU